rnacentral:misc_RNA from 1 species
UUUGGCUUUCUUGGGAUUAUAAACUAAACCUGUUUGUGGGUUUCAAGGCACCGUUCUUGAAGUUCGCAUCACUUCCACCAUUAUUUUCCCUCUCCCUCCUCUUUUUUUUCUUUGUUUUUUUUUUCAUUUACUUUUCUAUCAUAGUUGUCAAGUUAUGAUAUUUUACAUUAAUAUAUUCUCAACUUUUAAUAUAUUCUUGACUUUCUAAUGUAUCCUGUUGUCCUUUUUUAUUAUUUAAUUAUUUUAUCAAAUUUAAAUGAGAGUUUCAACACAUGAUAAUCAUUGUCUACAAC